rnacentral:lncRNA from 1 species
GAAAGGAGAGGAGAAAGCUCUUGAGUAUUCGGUCACUAGGAGGAGGAAAAUUGAAGGUAAGUUCUUGGUACCUUGAUUCUAUUUUGAGGUUCAUGAGUUCUUCUUAAUUCUACCUUAACUCUUGAAGCAUAUUUUGGUUUUUAGUUGUGUUGUGAGCAUUUAGUCAUUAAUUAAAAUGAAGGAAAUGGUUGUUGUUUCAUGUUCUUUUGAUGAAAAAUGGAAGAUAGGUGAAGUUAAGCCAAACAAAUGAGCAUGCAUGUGCCUUAGAUGCUAAAGGGAAAAAUCGGCUAACAUGUUGUGCUUUAAAAUGAUGAAAUGGAUAUUAUACUUAAGUAAAAUCAUAGAUAUGUGAUGAUUGAUUGGUGAUAUACAUGUUUAAAUAACAUGCAUGCAAGGUAUGUGUGAAAGAGUGAUUAGGUAAUAAAUCUGCUUGGGACAGCAGUAGUAACGUGACUUUGGAAAAUCACCAUAAAUUGUGGGAGAUGAAUUAGAAGAUGAAUAAAUUAUGUAAUUAAAUCUUAUUGAGUCUAGUUUCUAAUGAAAUAAGUAAGAACAUAUUUUGAAUUCUGUACAAUGAGAAAUUUGAUUCGUAAUGAAGAGUGGUCAGAUUAGUCAAACAGUGAAACAUGGGAAACUUUGAGAAAAAUCUGGUAUUGAUUGGCCAUACCAAAAAUUCUGAAAAUUUUAUGGAUAGAAGAUAUAUGAGUCUAUUUUCAGGGAAAAUUAAUGGCACUUGAUUUGGAGUUUCGCAGCUCCAGUUAUAAAUGAUUUAGUGACUGUUGCUCAGGAAGACAGCUUGCAGUGAAAUUAUGAUUAUGUGGUAAACACUGACAAAAAUUUGUUAAUGAGUUGCUUAUUGAUUUCAUAUAAGCUUACUCUGAUCUGUAGGUGUGGUUGGCCGAAUAUUGUAAGGGGUUAAUACGUAAUUCGUAUUUGAAUAGUUAGAUUAACGUGUUAGUAAUCCAAUUGUAGGCGGUUCGUGUGUGGAUCUCGUCAGCAUAUCGUCGCAAACAGGUGUGUAACUAACACCCUCUUAUAGACUAGAUCGGCAAAAAUUGAAAAGCCGGUAUUUUGAGAUUAAUAGUUUGAUGUAUAUGGUAAAUUAAAGUGAUAAGACUGCAGAGUGCGUGAUUCCGUGCAUUUCGAUGUUUUUGGGCUUAAUGGGCCAAAAACGGGGUAAUAGGCCAACAGGCCCAAAUCGGUAAGAAAAACGGUAAGUGUUUCUAAUCGUACGUAAAUGGCUAUGUUAUGCAUGAAAACCUUAAGAAUAGUGAAAUUACUUGAACACCGCUAUGUAUGGAAAAUUACUGUUAUACCCCUAGGGUUACUUUUGACUGAAAAGCAUGAUGAUCUGAUUCUGUAUGAUGUAUGCCAUGAUUAUAUAUCUGUUGCAUGGGUACUUGGGUUAUACUAUGGAGGAAGCGUCCUGGUGGCUAUGCCACAAUUAUCUGAUCUGGUGGCUAUGCCACAAUUAUCUGAUCUGGUGGCUCUGCCACAUAUAUCUGUUCUGGUAGCUCUGCCACAAUAUCUGUAUCUGGUGACUUCGUCACAAUAUCUGGCAGCCUCGCUAUGAUUUUUGUGGUGUGUAGCAGUUGGGUGGGUCGAGUAGUCUCCCCACAUGGUGUAAGGCUGGUACGGGGGUGUUAUGGAUGAAUCUGGUUGGGUUUCUGGAUAAACAUGUAAUAUCUAUUCUGUUCUGUUAUGGGCCUAUGGGCUUUAUUCUAAAUUCUGUUCUGGGCUAAGGCCAACUUAUCCUAUUUCUGUGGUUUGAGCUGAUAUAGGCUAUGGCUGGGUUAAUUUACACACUGAGUUUCCCCAAACUCACCCCUUUUAUUUUCAUCCAUACAGGUAAUCCCCAACCAUAGUGGGCUUGGAGCUGUGAGGGAAUUCGGAGUGGCCACCCGUUCUGAAAGUUUGAUUUUCUUCUGGUGAACUGGACAUCCUUUCAAUUACAUUUGAGGUUUUGGGCUUUUAAAUGUAAUAAGGACGCUUAUUUAUUUUUUAUGGUUUUUAUAUGUUUUAUUAAGAUAGGUAAUAUUUAUUGUGACAGCCCUAAUUUGACCCUAGUCGAAAAGUGGUUUCGGGACCACAAAACUGAGUUAUAAAAAUAAUUAACCGUCAUAUUCUAUGUUUAUUAUAUGUGAAUAUGAAAGUGUGAAAGUUUCAUACUUUAAUUUGGUCAGUAUAUGUGAAAUUUAUUAGUAGGGACUUAUGUGAGACAAUUGUGAAAUGUGUUAGACUAAUGUAAAAGUGAUCUAAUAGUGCAUGAUGUCAAAAAAAUGUACUUGCAUGUCAAAUUAGCCAAAUUUUGGAUAGUGGCCGGCCAUGAUAUGGGUUAUUAAUUAUAUAUGGGGUGAGUGGGAGGAGAAACCAAAGUUGGUUCAUCCUUGCUCCUCCAUUGCCGUAACUUGAGGGAGGAAGAAGAAAAGAAUUUUCUUGUUUCAUGUUCGGCUUGGAUGAUGUUUAGGAAGAGGUAAGUACUUUCAAAUUCUUGGAAAUUUAUGUAUAAAUAAGGUGAUUAGUUCAAGUUCUAUUCAUUCCAUGGAUUAAGUUUUGGUUGUUUGGAGGUUUGAUAUUCGGCCAAGUAGUUUGAAACUCUUAGUAUAUAUAUAUAUUUUUUUACUUGAAAGUUGAAAUUGGUUUGUUUAUAGGGAGGUGCCGAAUGUGGUCAUUGAAGGGUCUUAAUGAACAAUAUGUGUGGCUUGGGUUUAUAACAUUCGGUUAAGGAAUUUUGUGUGCUAGCAAGUUUGGUUAAAUAUAUAGAUGUAAAUCACCUUGUAUUUGGUAAUUUGAAGAGUAGGAAAUGGCAAAUUAAAAUGAUGUUGGGUAAAUUUUUAGUUUAGUUGUGCUUAAGCAUUCGGCAUUAAUUAUUGAUAUUGGCUAUGAAAGUAUGAAAGAUUAAAGAUUAUUUUUUUUUAUGAAUUAUGACAUUAAUAUGAACAAGAUAGAAAAUCGGUUAUAGAUGUGACUGAGUGAUUCGGUCAUUGAUGGGCAUUAUUGUAACCGAAUUGUAUUUUGCUACUUUUAAAUUUCGAGAUGGAAUUUGUAUAUAAAAGCUAAGUUGAGCGGUUAGGGCCGAAUGAGGUAUAUAAGAUAUUAAAGCAUUCUAGAAUUAUACAUUAGUGAAUAUGUGUGAUUGUACUAAAUUCUCUACUUGAAUUCAGUUAGGUAUAGUCAUGGUAUGAGCUCAUUAGGGAUAAUACCUUAUAAGUGAAUGUAGCUUUAGUUAACUUUAUGUGUUAUGCGUGUGUUAAAAUAGUUAAUGAUUUGGAUAUUAUUAUAGGUAUUUAUGCUAAAGAUUUUUCGGCUAUGUUUUGUACCCAUGUGAUGACUCUAAUGUCUAAUAUAUAUAAGAGUAAUUUCGGCUUCAAAAAAAAUUAAAUUAUGUAGUACGUGUAUGGCAAUUGUAUAAACAUGAGGGAUUGAAGUUACCUUAUAAGACCGAAUUGGGUAAUUAAAUUAUUGAUGAGUAUGCAUUUCGAUUUUGUGUAGCUUAACAUAUGAGAUGGGUAUAUGUUAGUUAAUAGUUGUACUUAAAGUGAUGUGUUAAAAAUAAUUAGGUACAUGCUUGGUUUCAUUAUUAAAUAUAAGGGUUAAGUACCUUAAAUUUAUCUUUAUUCAAUUCAUUUGUUAAAUUAAGCUCAAGAGCAAAGGGGAACUAAAUCUGAUAAAGGAAAAGAGAAAGCAAUCGAGUAGCCUAUCCGUAACUACUCCAACAUACCGAGGUAAGUUUAAGUAUCUUCAUUUAUUAUAUAAUUAACGAUGCCAUUAUAAGAGUAUAGUAUGUAAAUUCGAUCUUUGACUUAUACUUGAACUAAAAUGUAUUAUAUGACCAUUAAGUGAUAAGAUAGCCAAGAUGUGUCAAAGUAUGAUCAUAAUUGUAUGUGCUGGAAUUAUAUCCGGACAUCAGGUCCGCAGGCUAUAUGCUGGAAUUAUAUCUGAACUUCAGGUCCGUAGGCUAUGUGCUGGAAUUAUAUCCGGACUUCAGGUCCGCAGGCUAUGUGCUGGAAUUUUAUCCGGACUUCAGGUCCGCAGGCUAUGAGCUGGAAUUAUAUCCGGGCUUAAAUUCCGAAGACUUUGUGCUAGUGACUGGACCCGGGUUUUAACCUAGUAGGCUUAACAUCGGUAAUUCGAGUAAGGUUAUGAAUUAAAUGCACGAGGCAACUAUUAUUAAUUAUGUAUUAUACAGUAUGAAGAUCAGGUACAUAUUUUGUACUCAUAAGUGAACAAAUCUUUAGAUUGAAGUAGUAAUAACGAGGAAUGGAAUAUGUAUAUGUGCGUAUAGAUAUAUGUAUAGAUGAAUACCGAAGCUACGAAUAUGAGAAUGACCAUUUCGGAUGAUGUCCACUAUUAUAGGAAAUCAUACGAUUUAAAUUAAUUAUAUAAGCCAUGUUGAUGAUCGAGGUUUAGGUUGUAAAUUUCUUUGUGUUUGGCAUAUAUAUAUGUAUUCUCGGGCAAGUGGUAUAAAGUUGAUAUUUCGUAACAUUGAUUUACAUGUCAAGUUUUUAUCUGUUUGAAUUACUUAAGACUUACUAAGCAUCAAUAUGCUCACUUAGUUACAUUGAUUCUUUGUUUUAUAGAUCCUGUUCGUUAGCUAUCAUUUUCGGGAGUUUCAAAGUUGAAGUCAUCCACACUAUCAAAGCCCUUUCGGUACUCUUGUAGCUGAACUUUGUAAAUGGCAUGUAUAGGACUAACUUUUGUUGUUAAUUAAGUAUCCUUUUGGUAAUGUAUAUUCGUAUAGCCAUGCGAAAAUGGCUUGUUAAGUUAUUAUACGUAUUUCAUAUAGUUAAUGUGUAUGUGUGGUUGAUAUUUGAUUAGUGUUUUAAAUGUUUUGAUAAGAAUUGAACUUAGGAUUAUUCUAUAGUGUUAAAUAAAAUUUCGUGCUUGUUUUGUAAUACUUCUUAAUCCCUCUGGCGACGGGUACGGGUUAGGGGCAUUACAUUUUAUUGGUAUCAGAGCCACGGUUUAGUCUAUUCUAGGACUACUGUAAUACGUUCGGUCUAGCUAUACAUCUCAUUAUGUGUUUAUUUGAUAGUGUGGUGAUUUCUGACAGUUAAAAAAAUGUGUUUACUUAUAGUAAUGGAUCCCGAUUCCAACCGAGCGGUGGCUGAUGAUGUUGAGAGUGUAGCGCUUGCUCCCGUGCAUGGGACAACGCCGGUGGACUCUCAACCUAUUGCUAGUAAUCAGAACGAUGAAACUAGACAGGCUUUUUAUAGCGUGAUGAAUGAUUGGUUUAAUCAGUAUAUUCGAAUUAAUACGGCUGUUCCUCAACCCCCACUCCUAACUAAUACAACCCCUGCACCUGUGAUACCUCCGGUAACUGACCCGAUGAGGUUAAAUAUGCCCCCAAUAGACAGAAUCCGAAAACAUGGGGCUACUGAAUUUAAAGCUACAGACAGCGACGAUGCCGAGCAAGCUGAAUUUUGGUUGGACAACACUAUUAGGGUACUUGAUGAACUAUCUUGCACACCCGAUGAAUGCCUAAAGUGUACUAUCUCCUUGCUACGUGAUUUUGCCUACUAUUGGUGGAAUACGUUGAUUUCUGUUGUGCCCAGAGAGUGAGUAACUUGGGAGUUUUUCCAAACCGAGUUUCGAAAAAAGUAUAUCAGCCAGAGAUUCAUUGAUCAAAAACGGAAAGCAUUUCUUGAACUUAAACAAGGUUCCAUGUCAGUUACUGAUUAUGAACGAAAGUUUGUGAGGCUUAGCCGGUACGCUCGAGAAUGCGUUUCUUCAGAAGCUGUAAUGUGUAAACGUUUCGAAGAUGGACUGAACGAAGAUAUAAAACUGUAUGUUGGCAUUUUAGAAAUCAGAGAAUUUGUAGUACUUGUCGAGCGAGCUUGUAAAGCCAAAGAGCUCAGUAAGGAGAAAAGAAAAGCUGAUAUGGGAGCAAAAGAGUUUCGUAAGAGAUCUUCGAGAAAGCCCUUUCAACAGUCAUCGAAAAAAUUUAGAGAUGAUUUAGGCCGAUCUAAAGACACUUCGGGCUUUUCUAGACGAGAUCGUGAUCGACCCCCUGUGAGUACAUGAGUCACUUCGGUUGCCAGUGUUGGAAAUGAUCCUCGGGACAGAACAGAGUGCCAGUAUUGUGGUAAAUGGCAUUCGGGGAGUUGUAGAUUCCAUGAUCGCUCAUGUUAUAACUGUGGAUCAGCUGACCACUUUAUCAAGGAUUGGCCGAGACUGUCUGAACAGAAUGUAAAUCAGAGUGGGAAACCGGGUGCUACUACUGCUCGAGGUAGACCAUCUAGAAAUACGAGGAAUGUUAGUGGCGGUCAGAGAGGAUCUAGAGAUGCUACAACCAGAUCUGAGGCUCGUGCUCCUGCUAGAGCUUAUGCUAUACGCGCACGCGAGGAUGCUUCCUCGCCAGACGUUAUUACCGGUACUUUCACUCUCUUUGAUACUAAUGUGAUUGCAUUGAUUGACCCUGGUUCUACUCAUUCAUAUGUAUGUGAGACUUUAGCAUCCAGUAAGACUUUACCUGUUGAGUCUAUUGAGUUCGUAAUUCGAGUGUCGAAUCCCUUGGGUCGUUAUGUACAUGUUGACAAUGUGUGUAAGAAAUGUCCCCUAGUAAUCCGACGUUCCUGUUUUUCGGCCGAUUUGAUGCUUUUGCCGUUUGAUGAAUUUGAUGUUAUCCUCGGUAUGGAUUGGUUGACCGUACAUGAUGCAGUUGUAAAUUGUAAAAGAAAGACUAUUGAUUUGAGGUGUGUAAAUAAUGAGAUAAUUCGAGUUGAGUCUACUGACUUGAACGGAUUUCCAGCAAUAAUAUCCUCGAUGUUGGCUCGGAAACAUGUGAGAAAGGGGUGUGAAGCAUAUCUUACGUACGUACUAGAUAGCAAAGAGUCAGAAAGGAGACUUGAAUCUGUGCCAGUGAUUUGUGAGUAUUCAGAUGUUUUUCCUGAGGAGUUACCAGGAUUACCACCCGUUCGAGAGGUUGAAUUCGGCAUCGAACUAGUACCUGGUACCACUCCAAUUUCGAUAGCUCCGUAUCGUAUGGCACCAACGGAAUUGAAGGAAUUGAAAACUCAGUUGCAAGAGUUGACGGAUAGAGGGUUUACUCAAGCGAGUUUUUCACCUUGGGGUGCACCAGUAUUGUUUGUGAAAAAGAAGGAUGGAACCUUGAGAAUGUGCAUUGACUAUCGUCAAUUGAAUAAAGUGACAAUAAAGAAUAAAUAUCCGUUACCACGUAUUGAUGAUCUGUUUGAUCAGCUGAAGGGAGCUUCAGUGUUUUCAAAGGUAGAUUUGAGAUCGGGUUAUUAUCAGUUACGAGUUCGAGACUCAGAUAUACCCAAAACUUCUUUAAGAACGAGAUACGAUCACUACGAAUUCUUAGUGAUGUCGUUUGGGCUCACUAAUGCCCUGCGGUAUUUAUGGAUUUGAUGAAUCGGAUUUUCAGACAAUAAUUGGACCAGUUUGUAGUUGUGUUUAUAGACGACAUCUUGAUUUAUUCACAUGAUGAAAUGGAACAUGCCGAGCACCUAAGAUUAGUGUUGCAGAUUUUAUGGGAUAAACAGUUGUAUGAUAAGUUCAGUUAAUGUGAGUUCUGGUUGAAAGAAGUUAGCUUUUUGGGACACGUGGUAUCUGCAUCGUGUAUUAGAGUUGAUCCGGGCAAAAUAUCAGCCAUACUUAAUUGGAAGCCCCCAAGAAAUAUUACUGAAGUUCGGAGCUUUUUGGGACUUGCCGGUUACUAUAGACGAUUUGUAAAGGGUUUCUCGAUGAUAGCCACCCCAAUGACGAAACUACUUCAGAAAGAUGUUAAGUUUGAAUGGUCAGAAGAAUGUCAGAAAAGUUUUGAUCAAUUGAAAACUUAUUUGACUGAAGCUCCGGUGCUAGUGCAGCCUGAAUCCGGUAAAGAGUUUGUCAUUUACAGUGAUGCAUCCUUACUUGGGUUGGGUUGUGUGUUGAUUCAAGAAGGUCGAGUUGUAGCUUACGCGUCGAGGCAAUUGAAGCCACAUGAGAAAAACUAUCCGGCUCAUGAUCUCGAAUUAGCCGCCAUCGUAUUCGCUUUGAAAAUAUGGCGACACUACUUGUUUGGGGAGAGGUGUCAUGUAUAUUCGGAUCACAAAAGUCUUAAAUAUUUGAUGACUUAAAGAGAUUUGAAUCUACAACAAAGACGUUGGCUUGAGCUGUUGAAAGAUUAUGAGCUUGUCAUCGACUAUCACCUGGGAAAGGCUAAUGUGGUUACCGAUGCUUUAAGUCGUAAAUCACUGUUUGCUUUACGAGCGAUGAAUGUACACCUGUUCGUUUUAUCCGAUAAUAUGUUACUAGCAAAAUUAAAGGCUAAACCAUUAUGGAUUCAUCAAAUUUGUGAAUCUCAGAAAGUUGACAAUGAAUUGGUUGCUAAACGAGCUGACUGUGCUUCUAAUGUGGAAUCAGAGUUUCAAAUAGACGACAAUGAUUGUUUAAGGUUCAGAAGUCGAUUGUGUGUUCCAAGAAAUUCAGAACUUAUUUCGAUGAUCUUGAGUGAGGCUCAUAGUAGCCGAAUGUCUAUCCACUCGGGUAGUACGAAAAUGUACAACGAUUUGAAACGUCAGUUUUGGUGGCCUAGUAUGAAACGAGACAUUUCUGACUUUAUUUCGAAGUGUUUGAUAUGUCAACAAGUGAAAGCGGAACAUCAAGUGCCUUCAGGAUUACUUCAGCCGAUCAUGAUACCAGAAUGGAAGUGGGAUCGAGUCACGAUGGAUUUUGUAUCUGGGUUGCCAUUGUCAUCAAGCAAGAAAGAUGCGAUCUGAGUUGUUGUUGAUAGACUGACAAAGUCGGCUCAUUUUAUUCCUGUACAUACGGAUUAUUCCCUUGAUAAGCUAGCUGAAAUAUAUGUAUCUCAGAUUGUAAGGUUACAUGGAGUACCUACUUCUAUUGUGUCUGAUAGAGAUCCGAGAUUUACAUCGCGAUUUUGGAAGAAAUUGCAAGAAGCCUUGGGUACCAAGUUGCAUUUUAGCACCGCUUUUCACCCCCAGACUGAUGGUCAAUCUGAGCGGAUAAUCCAGAUACUCGAGGAUAUGUUGAGAUGUUGCAUCCUUGAGUUUAGUGGUUCAUGGGAACGGUAUUUACCUUUGAUUGAAUUCGCUUACAACAAUAGUUUUCAGUCAAGUAUUAAGAUGGCACCUUACGAGGCUUUGUACGGUCGUAAAUGCCGUACACAGUUGUUUUGGACCGAGCUUAGUGAAAGUAAAAUCUUCGGGGUUGAUUUGAUUAAAGAUGCUGAGCAGAAAGUAAAAGUAAUCAGUGAAAGUCUGAAAGAAGCUACAGAUCGUCAGAAGUCGUACGAGGAUUUGAAACGAAAAGACAUUGAAUAUCAGGUCGGAGACAAAGUGUUUCUUAAAGUUUCACCUUGGAAAAAAGUGCUCAGAUUUGGCCGUAAAGGCAAAUUGAGUCUGAGGUAUAUCGGGCCGUAUGAGAUAUCCGAACGAAUUGGGCCAGUCGCUUACAGAUUGAUUUUACCCCUUGAACUUGAAAAGAUUCACAGUGUUUUUCAUGUCUCGAUGCUUCGACGUUAUAGAUCUGAUCCUUCGCACAUAAUUAGUCUAUCGAAGGUUGAAAUUCAAUCUGAUUUGAGUUAUGAAGAAGAACCGAUUCGUAUCCUAGCUCGUGAGGUGAAAGAGUUGCGAAACAAAAAGGUUCCUUUAGUAAAGAUGUUAUGGCUCAAACACGGGAUUGAAGAAGCUACUUGGGAAACUGAGAACUCUAUGAAAGAACGAUACCCAAAUUUAUUCACUGGUAAGAUUUUCGGGGACGAAAAUUUCUUAAGUGGGGGAGAGUUGUGAUAGCCCUAAUUUGACCCUAGUCGGAAAGUGGUUUCGAGACCACAAAACAGAGUUAUAAAAAUAAUUAACCGUCAUAUUCUAUGUUUUUUAUAUGUGAAUAUGAAAGUGUGAAAGUUUCAUACUUUAAUUUGGUCAGUAUAUGUGAAAUUUAUUAGUAGGGACUUAUGUGAGACAAUUGUGAAAUGUGUUAAACUAAUAUAAAAGUGAUCUAAUAGUGCAUGAUGUCAAAAAAAAUGUACUUGCAUGUCAAAUUAGCCAAAUUUUGGAUAGUGGCCGGCCAUGAUAUGGGUUAUUAAUUAUAAUAUGUAUUUUUCUAUUAACAUUUUUAGUUUACAAAAGGAAUUAAUGAAUUAAGAAUAAUAAAAUAUGGGGUGAGUGGGAGGAGAAACCAAAGUUGGUUCAUCCUUGCUCCUCCAUUGCCGUAACUUGAGGGAGGAAGAAGAAAAGAAUUUUCUUGUUUCAUGUUCGGCUUGGAUGAUGUUUAGGAAGAGGUAAGUACUUUCAAAUUCUUGGAAAUUUAUGUAUAAAUAAGGUGAUUAGUUCAAGUUCUAUUCAUUCCAUGGAUUAAGUUUUGGUUGUUUGGAGGUUUGAUAUUCGGCCAAGUAGUUUGAAACUCUUAGUAUAUAUAUAUAUUUUUUUACUUGAAAGUUGAAAUUGGUUUGUUUAUAGGGAGGUGCCGAAUGUGGUCAUUGAAGGGUCUUAAUGAACAAUAUGUGUGGCUUGGGUUUAUAACAUUCGGUUAAGGAAUUUUGUGUGCUAGCAAGUUUGGUUAAAUAUAUAGAUGUAAAUCACCUUGUAUUUGGUAAUUUGAAGAGUAGGAAAUGGAAAAUUAAAAUGAUGUUGGGUAAAUUUUUAGUUUAGUUGUGCUUAAGCAUUCGGCAUUAAUUAUUGAUAUUGGCUAUGAAAGUAUGAUAGAUUAAAGAUUAUUUUUUUUUAUGAAUUAUGACAUUAAUAUAAACAAGAUAGAAAAUCGGUUAUAGAUGUGAUUGAGUGAUUCGGUCAUUGAUGGGCAUUAUUGUAACCGAAUUGUAUUUUGCUACUUUUAAAUUUCGAGAUGGAAUUUGUAUAUAAAAGCUAAGUUUAGCAGUUAGGGCCGAAUGAGGUAUAUAAGAUAUUAAAGCAUGCUAGAAUUAUACAUUAGUGAAUAUGUGUGAUUGUACUAAAUUCUCUACUUGAAUUCGGUUAGGUAUAGUCAUGGUAUAAGCUCAUUAGGGAUAAUACCUUAUAAGUGACUAUAGCUUUAGUUAACUUUAUGUGUUAUGCGUGUGUUAAAAUAGUUAAUGAUUUGAAUAUUAUUAUAGGUAUUUAUGCUAAAGAUUUUUCGGCUAUGUUUUGUACCCAUGUGAUGACUCUAAUGUCUAAUAUAUAUAAGAGUAAUUUCGGCUUAAAAACAUUUAAAUUAUGUAGUACGUGUAUGGCAAUUGUAUAAACAUGAGGCAUUGAAGUUACCUUAUAAGACCGAAUUGGGUAAUUAAAUUAUUUAUGAGUAUGCAUUUCGAUUUUGUGUAGCUUAACAUAUGAGAUGGGUAUAUGUUAGUUAAUAGUUGUACUUAAAGUGAUGUGUUAAAAAUAAUUAGGUCCAUGCUUGGUUUCAUUAUUAAAUAUAAGGGUUAAAUACCUUAAAUUUAUCUUUGAUGUUCAAAAUGAUUAAAUCAAUUCAUUUGUUAAAUUAAGCUCAAGAGCAAAGGGGAACUAAAUCUGAUAAAGGAAAGGAGAAAGCAAUCGAGUAGCCUAUCCGUAACUACUCCAACAUACCGAGGUAAGUUUAAGUAUCUUCAUUUAUUAUAUAAUUAACGAUGCCAUUAUAAGAGUAUAGUAUGUUAAUUCUAUCUUUGACUUAUACUUGAACUAAAAUGUAUUAUAUGACCAUUAAGUGAUAAGAUGGCCAAGAUGUGUCAAAGUAUGAUCAUAAUUGUAUGUGCUAGAAUUAUAUUCGGACUUCAGGUCUGCAGGCUAUGUGCUGGAAUUAUAUCCGGACUUCAGGUCCGCAGGCUAUGUGCUGGAAUUAUAUCCGGACUUCAGGUCCGCAGGCUAUGUGCUGGAAUUUUAUCCGGACUUCAGUUCGCAGGCUAUGUGCUGGAAUUUUAUCUGGACUUCAGGUCCGCAGGCUAUGAGUUGGAAUUAUAUCCUGGCUUAAAUUCCGAAGACUUUGUGCUAGUGACUGGACCCGGGUUUUAACCUAGUAGGCUUAACGUCGGUAAUUCGAGUAAGGUUAUGAAUUAAAUGCACGAGGUAACUAUUAUUAAUUAUGUAUUAUACAGUAUGAAGAUCAGGUACAUAUUUUGUACUCAUAAGUGAACAAAUCUUUAGAUUGAAGUAGUAAUAACGAGGAAUGGAAUAUGUAUAUGUACGUAUAGAUAUAUGUAUAGAUGAAUACCGAAGCUACGAAUAUGAGAAUGACCAUUUCGGAUGAUGUCCACUAUUAUAUGAAAUCAUACGAUUUAAAUUAAUUAUAUAAGCCAUGUUGAUGAUCGAGGUUUAGGCUGUAAAUUUCUUUGUGUUUGGCAUAUAUAUAUGUAUUUUCGGGCAAGUGGUAUAAGGUUGAUAUUUCGUAACAUUGAUUUACAUGUCAAGUUUUUAUCUGUUUGAAUUACUUAAGACUUACUAAGCAUCAAUAUGCUCACUUAGUUACAUUGAUUCUUUGUUUUAUAGAUCCUAUUCGUUAGCUAUCAUUUUCGGGAGUUUCAAAGUUGAAGUCAUCCACACUAUCAAAGCCCUUUCGGUACUCUUGUAGCUGAACUUUGUAAAUGGCAUGUAUAGGACUAACUUUUGUUGUUAAUUAAGUAUCCUUUUGGUAAUGUAUAUUCGUAUAGCCAUGCGAAAAUGGCUUGUUAAGUUAUUAUACGUAUUUCAUAUAGUUAAUGUGUAUGUGUGGUUGAUAUUCGAUUAGUGUUUUAAAUGUUUUGAUAAGAAUUGAACUUAGGAUUAUUCUAUAGUGUUAAAUGAAAUUUCGUGCUUGUUUUGUAAUACUUCUUAAUCCCUCAGGCGAUGGGUACGGGUUAGGGGCGUUACAUUUAUAUUUAACUGUUGAAAUUGGAUAGCUUUAGGGCGCGUUUUCAAAAAUAGUAAUUGAUUUCAAAAUAACACGAAAACAAGCAAAGCUUCCGCAAUGAAGAUAUUUUCCAAAAUUAAUCACUUUUCCUAAAAAGGACUUAAUCAAAUCGGUUUCCUAGAAAUAUACAUGACGUUAAGGUAUGGCAAUGGCGGUUUGCAUGUCUAGGAUUGGAUCCGAAGGGAGUUUGGUACUUAAGCAGUCCAAUGGACUCACCUUCUCUUUUUCGAUUUCCUACCUAGUGCACAGCUUCCAUUCACUUUAACCUAUAAUGAAAUCAUCUUUUAAAACACUCAGUAAGCUUUCUUUCUGGAUCAGAAAUGUUUUGAAUGCUGCGAUGUGGCAUGUCGGAUCCAGCCAUAACGUCUGGGCCGGGUAAGGAGUGUUACAUUUAGUGGUAUCAGAGCCCAGUUGCAACAAGUCAGCUGUGGAUCGAGUCCAAAAAGGGUUUUCAAAACUUUAUGCCAAAAAAGAGGGUACUUUUGGAAAAACCUGACUUUUGAAAAUUUCCUGUUUAAAAGAGAUAAUCUCUGAACUUGUUUUUUUUAACACAAAUGUUUGGAAAAUGGAUUUCAAAAAGUCUAAAUCUUUUGAGUUUAUCUGAAAACUGAUGAGGUGGCACACUGAAUCCCCGGCACCAAGGCUGUAAGUACUACUAUUUUAUGAAUAUUUUCCUGAAUUAUCUAUCUGUACUGAAACCCUACUAGGACACUUUAGAUAGGAUGAUACUGAAACCAUCGGAAAAUCUGAUAAGAGAUUGAAACUGUAGCUAGACUUCGAUUCUACGAAAACAAACUUUGAAUUACUGUCUGAUUCAUAAAACAUCUGUAAUAAUCACUGGAAUACUAAGUUAAUUCAUAAAAUUCGUAAACAGAUAAUAUGAUAUGAGAACAAGAGCUACUCGUGGAAGAGGCCGUGGACGUGGCCGAGGAAGGGCUCAAGCAGUAUCUUCGUCUUCGGGACAUAUGCCGGCGGUAGAUGCAUCGGUACCAUCAGCAACGGAAGUGGAGUCUCAUGAUCAUGGUGCCGGGGGUGAUGCUCUAUCGCAGGCAAUGCUUCGUGUUCUGGAAAGGGUUGCCGGGACAAGUUCGGGCAACGGAAUUCGAGGAUCAAUUUCUGAACGACUCCGGGCCAACGGAGCAAAGAUCUUUAGGGGUGUGUCUGGUAUCACCUCAAAUGUGGCAGAAUAUUGGUUGGAGGCCACAGAACGAAUUAUGGAUGACUUGGAUUGCUCUGUGGAGCAGAAGCUGAAGGGAGCCGUAUCGUUGCUACGGAACGAGGCUUACCAGUGGUGGCUCACUGUGAGAGAAGGAACCCUAGUUGAUAGGGUAACUUGGGAACUAUUUAAGACGGCCUUUAAAGGGAAGUAUGUUGGAGCGAGUUAUGUGGACGCCCGCAGGAAGAAAUUCCUAAAUCUGGUGGAAGAAGGUAAAACAGUUGCCGAGUACGAGGCCGAGUUUUUGAGGUUGAGCCGGUAUGCCGUGGGCAUAGUUGCUACGGAGUAUGAGUGAAGUGUGCGCUUCGAGGAUGGUCUUAGAGAUGACCACAGGGUGUUAAUUGCUCCGUAGAGGGAGUGAGACUUCGCGGUCUUGGUGGAGAAGGCAAUGAUCGCUGAGGAGGUUAAGCGUGCUGAAAAGCAAAAUCGGGAGAAGGAUCGAAACCGUUUCUGGAGGGAUUCAGGACCCUCGGGUGGUGCAAAUAGGAUUGUUAAGAGAGCAAGAGUGGAGGAACCAGUUCGAGCAGUGCCGGUGAAUGUGGUCAGACCAUCAAUCUGUGGAGACUGUGGUGAGGUACAUUUGGGCGAGUGUAGGAAACGCUCUGGUGCUUGUUUCCGAUGUAGAUCUAUGGAGCAUAGAGUACGGGACUUCCCUCAGAAAGCUUAUCAGGUUCAAGUUGCUAAACAGAGGAUUGCUCAACCCGUAAGGGGUAGACCCCAACCACCGAGAGGACGUGGACAAGGUAGGGGUGGAAAUGGAAACGGUCGAGGUCAGGGGGCACUUGGCAGGGGUGUUGAAAAUGUUGAAGCUCGAUAACCAACUUUGGUGUAUGCAGCUCGUCGUCGAGAGGAGGGCGACGCACCUAACGUCAUAACUGGUAUGUUCUUGGGUUCUGGCAUGCCAUAUACUGCUUUGGUGGAUAUUGGAUCUACUCAUUCCUAUGUUGCAUGUGCCAUAUCUGGGUUGUUGGGUGUGCACUCUGAGAAGAUGGUGAGUGGGGUAUCUGUACUAAGUCCUUUGGGUCACUCGGUUAGGGUAGACAAACUGUAUAGGGAUGUACCCUUAGAAACUCAAAGUUUUUCCCUGGAAAUCUGAUGGAGUUACCGUUCGGAGAGUUUAAUCUCAUUUUGGGAAUGGACUGGCUUGUUAAGCAUAAAGCGACUCUGGAUUUUGCUGCUAAACGAAUGGUGUUAAGGACCACAAAGGAUGAGGAGGUUAUGGUGAUAGGUGAGCGAAGGGAUUAUUUGUCCAAUGUGGUGUCGGCAUUAAGAGCUGAAAAUGGAUUCAGAAAGGUUGUGAGGUCUAUUUGGCAUUUGUAAGUCAGUCAGAAGAGGAGGGAUUGUCAGUGGAUAAGGUUAGGACUGUAAAGGAGUUCCAAGAUGUUUUUCCGGAGGAGCUUCCAAGAUUGCCUCUGAACCGAGAAGUGGAGUUUGGAAUGAACUUCUUGCUUGGAACGGCACCAGUGUCUAUCGCACCGUAUAGAAUGGCACCGAAGGAGUUUGUGGAGCUAAAGGCACAAAUUCAAGAGUUGUUGGAUAGGGGCUUCAUUAGGCCAAGCGUGUCUCCAUGGGGAGCACCGGUGCUAUUCGUGAAGAAGAAGGAUGGUACAAUACGGAUGUGCAUUGAUUAUCGCGAGUUGAACAAACUGACAAAUAAGAAUAAGUAUCCACUGCCAAGGAUUGACGAUCUGUUUGACCAGCUUAGAGGGGCUUCUGUAUUUUCUAAGAUCGACCUCCGAUCUGGAUAUCAUCAGUUAAGGGUCAAGGAGGCGGAUAUCCAUAAGACGGCAUUCAAGACUCGGUAUGGUCAUUACGAGUUUUUGGUUAUGCCAUUUGGACUGACGAACGCUCCUGCAGCAUUUAUGGAUCUGAUGAAUCGGGUGUUCCAACCAUUCUUAGAUCGAUUCGUAGUCGCAUUCAUUGAUGAUAUCCUGGUAUAUUCUGAAACUGAAGCGAAACAUGAUGAGCAUCUCCGUAUAGUGCUGUGAGUGUUAAGGGAGAAGGAACUCUUCGCGAAGUUCAGCAAGUGUGAAUUUUGGUUCAGCAAGUGUGAAAGAUUGAAGCAAUUUUGAAGUGGAAGCCACCUAAGACGGUGUCAGAAAUUCGAAGUUUCCUAGGGUUGGCAGGAUACUACAGAAGAUUUGUGGAAGGUUUUUCUGUGAUGGCAGCACCUCUGACAAAACUCAUAAGGAAAGGAGUACCAUUUGUAUGGACUGAGAAGCAGCAGGAAGCUUUUGAGAAGUUGAAGAAAGUUCUGACUGAAGCACCUAUGUUGAUUCAGCCGGAGUCUGGGAAGGAUUUUACUGUGUACAGUGACACAUCACACGUGGGUUUGGGCUGCGUGUUAAUGCAGGAGGGUAAGGUGGUUGCAUAUGUAUCACGACAGCUUAAAUCUCACGAAGGGAACUAUCCUACUCAUGAUUUGGAGUUGGUGGCAAUGAUAUUCGCACUUAAGAUUUGGAGACGUUACUUGUACGGGGAGAAGUGUAUUAUAUACACAGACCACAAGAGUCUUAAGUAUUUGUUGACUUAGAAGGAGCUGAACCUUAGGCAAAGGAGAUGGAUUGAGUUGCUUAAGGAUUAUGACUGUUUGAUCGAGUAUCACCCAGGCAAGGCUAAUGUAGUAACCGAUGCUUUAAGUCGUAGAACCGUAUCUGAUCUAAGAGCAAUGUUUGCUCGUUUGAGUCUGUAUGAUGAUGGUAGUUUGUUGGCUGAAUUGCAAGUAAGGCCAACCUGGGUGGACCAGAUUAAGGAAAAGCAGUUGGAAGAUGAGUCAUUGGUUGCUCGUUUUCAACAAGUUAAGGAAGGGGAAACUUCUGAGUUCGGUUUAAAUGGUGAUGGAGUUCUGUGUUUCAGAGUAAGAAUUUGUGUUCCGAGGGACUCUGAUUUAAGGCAAACAAUAUUGAAGAAAGCUCAUGGGGGACUAUGUGCCAUGCAUCCUGGAGGGAAUAAGUUGUAUCAUGACUUGCAAGAAUUGUACUGGUGGCUUGGACUUAAGCGAGAAGUAACGAAGUUUGUAGGAAAUGUCUGACAUGCCAACAAGUGAAAGCUGAGCAUCAAAUACCUUCUGGACUGUUACAGCCGGUGAAGAUACCACUUUGGAAGUGGGAGAGGGUAACCAUGGACUUUGUGAGUGGGUUGCCUUUGACACCAUCAAAGAAAGACUCGAUGUGGGUGAUUGUGGAUAGGUUGACCAAAUCAGCCCAUUUCAUACCUGUAUGUACUGACUUUUCGCUUCAAAAGUUAGCCAAGUUGUAUGUGGCAGAGAUUGUAUGACUUCAUGGAGUCCCAGUUUCGAUUGUCUCUGACCGGGAUCCCAGAUUCACAUCUCAGUUUUGGAAAAAGUUGCAUGAGGCGUUGGGGACGCGAUUGAACUUUAGUACGGCUUUCCAUCCCCAAACUGAUGGUCAGUCAGAGAGGGUUAUUCAGAUUCUGGAGGACAUGUUGAGGGGAUGCGUGAUUGACUUUCGAGGUAGUUGGGAGGAUUACUUACCGUUGGUAGAAUUUACGUACAAUAACAGUUACCAGGCGAGUAUUCAAAUGGCACCGUAUGAAGCACUGUAUGGACGAAGGUGUCGUACACCUAGUUGUUGGACUGAACUAGGAGAGCAACAAAUUCUUGGACCAGAGUUGGUAGCUGAUACUGAGGAUAAGGUCAGAAUAAUUAGGGACCAGUUAAAAGAAGCAUCUGAUAGGCAAAAGUCGUAUGCAGAUUUGAAGCAUAAGGUGAUUGAGUACUCAGUAGGUGAUGUGGUCUUCUUAAAGGUUUCUCCUUGGAAGAAGAUAUUAAGGUUCGGUAAGAAGGGCAAGUUGAGUCCGCGGUUCAUUGGGCCUUAUCGGGUUUUGAAGCGAGUAGGCCCAGUGGCUUAUCAGUUGGAAUUGCCUCCAGAGUUAGACAGGAUUCACGAUGUUUUUCACGUCUCCAUGUUCAGGCGUUAUCGUUCUGACCCUGCUCAUGUCCUGCCAGUUGCAGAAAUUGAAGUUCAAACUGAUUUGACCUUUAAGGAGGAGCUUGUGCAAAUAUUGGCUCAAGAUGUUAAGGUUCUCAGAAGGAAAUCUGUCCCGUUAGUGUAAGUGCUUUGGCGUAAUCAUGGAAGGGAAGAAGCUACUUGGGAAUCAGAAGAGACUAUGCGUCAACAAUACCCUCAACUAUUUGGAUCAGGUAAAUUUUGAGGCCGAAAUUUUUUUAAGGGGGUAGAGUUGUAACGCCCGAAAUUUCUGGAAUUCUGUGAAUGUUGGCAAAAUUUCAUGCUUUGAUUUUGUCAUUUGUGAGUGAAAUUAUGAAAUAGGACCUAUGUGAAAAUGUUUGAAAAUGCUAUAGGCUAAUUUGUAGUGGCCAAAUAAAUAGUAGUGCAAAAUAGGAGGAUUUCUAUGUCAAACUUCCCAUUUUACAAGAAGCAGCCGGCCAUCAUGUUGUUGAACACAAUAUGUGCACUUGAUAUCCAUAAUUUAUGGUACAAAUUGAUUAAAAAAGUUGAUAAUGGGUUAGGUAAAUGUUCCAUGAUUGGCAUGAUAAGCAUUAUGGGCAUUUUUUUUUAUUGACAUUAUGGCAUAGGUAUGGCACAAAUAAUAUAAGUUAUUUUGUUUCAUAAAAUGUUGGGUAAUAAAAUAACAAAAGGAUGAAAAGAACAAAGUUUUGUCCAUCUUUGUUCAUCAUAGCCGAAAGUUAGAGAAGAGAAAGGAGAGGAGAAAGCUCUUGAGUAUUCGGUCACUAGGAGGAGGAAAAUUGAAGGUAAGUUCUUGGUACCUUGCUUCUAUUUUGAGGUUCAUGAGUUCUUCUUGAUUCUACCUUAACUCUUGAAGCAUAUUUUGGUUUUUAGUUGUGUUGUGAGCAUUUAGUCAUGAAUUAAAAUGAAGGAAAUGGUUGUUGUUUCAUGUUCUUUUGAUGAAAAAUGGAAGAUAGGUGAAGUUGAGCCAAACAAAUGAGCAUGCAUGUGCCUUAGAUGCUAAAGGGAAAAAUCGGCUAACAUGUUGUGCUUUAAAAUGAUGAAAUGGAGAUUAUACUUAAGUAAAAUAAUAGAUAUGUGAUGAUUGAUUGGUGAUAUACAUGUUUAAAUAACAUGCAUGCAAGGUAUGUGUGAAAGAGUGAUUUGGUAAUAAAUCUGCUUGGGACAGCAGCAGUAACGUGAUUUUGGAAAAUCACCAUAAAUUGUGGGAGAUGAAUUAGAAGCUGAAUAAAUUAUGUAAUUAAAGCUUAUUGAGUCUAGUUUCUAACGAAAUAAACAAGAACAUAUUUUGAAUUAUGUACAAUGAGAAAUUUGAUUUGUAAUGAAGAGUGGUCAGAUUAGUCAAACAGUGAAACAUGGGAAACUUUGAGAAAACUCUGGUAUUGAUUGGCUAAAUAAAAAAUUCUGAAAAUUUUGUGGAUAUAAUAUAUAUGAGUCUAUUUUCAGGGAAAAUUAACGGUACUUGAUUUGGAGUUUCGUAGCUCCAUUUAUAAAUGAUUUAGUGACUAUUGCUCAGGAAGACAACUUGCAGUGAAAUUAUGAUUAUGUUGUAAACAUUGACAAAAAUUUGUUAAUGAGUUGCUUAUUGAUUUCUUAUAAGCUUACUAUGACCUGUAGGUGGGGUUGGCCGAAUAUUGUAAGGGGUUAAUACGUAGUUUUUAUUUGAAUAGUUAGAUUAACGUGUUAGUAAUCCAAUUGUAGGCGGUUCGUGUGCGGAUCUCGUCAACAUAUCGUCGCAAAUAGGUGUGUAACUAACACCCUGUUAUAGACUAGAUCGGCAAAAACCGAAAAGCCGGUAUUUUGAGAUUAAUAGUUUGAUGUAUAUGGUAAAUUAAAGUGAUAAGACUGCAGAGUGCGCAAUUCCGUGCAUUUCGAUGUUUUGGGGCUUAAUGGGCCAAAAACAGGGUAAUGGGCCAACAGGCCCAAAUCGGUAAGAAAACGCGGUAAGUGUUUCUGAUCGUACGUAAAUGGCUAUGUUAUGCGUGAAAACCUUAAGAAUAGUGAAAUUACUUGAACGCCGCUAUGUAUGGAAAAUUACUGUUAUACCCCUAGGUGCAAAAUUACUAUUAUACCCAUAGGGUUACUUUUGACUGAAAAGCAUGACGAUCUGAUUCUGUUUGAUGUAUGCAAUGAUUAUAUAUCUGUUGCAUGGGGACUUGGGUUAUACUAUGGAGGAAGCGUCCUGGUGGCUAUGCCACAAUUAUCUGAUCUGGUGGCUCUGCCACAUAUAUCUGUUCGGGUGGCUCUGCCACAAUAUCUGUAUCUGGUGACUUCGUCACAAUAUCUGGCAACCUCCCCACGAUUUCUGUGGUGUGUAGCGGUUGGGUGGGUCGAGUAGUCUCCCCACAUGGUGUAAGGCUGGUACAGGGGUGUUAUGGAUGAAUCUGGUUGGGUUUCUGCAUAAACAUGUAAUAUCUGUUCUGUUCUGUUAUGGGCCUAUGGGCUUUAUUCUAAAUUCUGUUCGGGGCUAAGGCCAACUUAUCCUAUUUCUGUGGUUUGAGCUGAUAUAGGCUAUGGUUGGGUUAAUUUACACACUGAGUUUCCCCAAACUCACCCCUUUUAUUUUCAUCCACGCAGGUAAUCCCCAACCAUAGUGGACUUGGAGCUGUGAGGGAAUUCAGAGUGGCCACCCGUUUUGAAAGUUUGAUUUUCUUUUGGUGAACUGGACAUCCUUUUAAUUACGUUUGAGGUUUUGGGCUUUUAAAUGUAAUAAGGCC